rnacentral:rRNA from 1 species
GGAUAUCUGAGUGCAGGAGAGGAAAGCGGAUUCCUAGUGUAGCGGUGAAAUGCGUAGAUAUAGGAGGAACACCAGUGGCGAAGGCGGCUUUCUGGACUGUAACUGACGCUGAGGCACGAAAGCGUGGGGAGCAAACAGAAUUAGAUACCCUGGUAGUCCACGCUGUAAACGAUGAAUACUACGUGUCGGGGGUCAAAGCCCGGUGCCGCAGCUAACGCAUUAAGUAUUCGGCCUGGGGAGUACGGUCGCAAGACUGAAACUCAAAGGAAUUGACGGGGACCCGCACAAGCGGCGAGCAUGUGGUUUAAUUCGAAGCAACGCGAAGAACCUUUCCAGGUCUUGACAUCCCUCUGAAUGGCGCUUAGCAGCGCAGGUCUUUCGGGACAGAGGAGACAGGUGGUGCAUGGAUGUGGUCAGCUCGUGUCGUGAGAUGUUGGGUUAAGUCCCGCAACGAGCGCAACCCUUGCCUUUAGUUGCCAGCACGUAAAGGUGGGCACUCUAGAGGGACUGCCGGUGACAAACCGGAGGAAGGUGGGGAUGACGUCAAAUCAUCAUGCCCCUUAUGAUCUGGGCUACACACGUGCCACAAUGGCCGGUACAACGAGAAGCGAAACCGCGAGGUGAAGCAAAUCUUUUAAAGC